AUUGAACGCUGGCGGCAGGCCUAACACAUGCAAGUCGAGCGGAGCGGCGGACGGGUGAGUAAUGCCUAGGAAUCUGCCUGGUAGUGGGGGAUAACGUCCGGAAACGGGCGCUAAUACCGCAUACUAUCAGAUGAGCCUAGUUCGGAUUAGCUAGUUGGUUGGGUAAAGGCCUACCAAGGCGACGAUCCGUAACUGGUCUGAGAGGAGGAUCAGUCAAACUGGAACUGAGAAACGGUCCAGAAUCCUCGGAGAGGAAGCAGUGGGGAAUAGUGGAAAAUGGGCGAAAGCCUGAGCCAGCCAUGCAGAGUGUGUGAAGAAGGUUUUCGGAUUGUAAAGCACUUUAAGUUGGGAGGCGUUAGCAACAGAAGAAGCACCGGCUAACUUCGUGCCAGCAGCCGCGAGAAAC
rnacentral:rRNA from 1 species